AGAGUUUGAUCCUGGCUCAGAAUCAACGCUGGCGGCGUGCCUAACACAUGCAAGUCGAACGCGAAAGCCCCGCAAGGGGCAAGUAGAGUGGCAAACGGGUGAGUAACACGUGGGUGACCUGCCUUCGAGUGGGGGAUAACGUCCCGAAAGGGACGCUAAUACCGCAUGACAUCCUGCCUUUGGAGAGGUGGAGAUCAAAGCCGGGGAUCGCAAGACCUGGCGCUUGAAGAGGGGCCCGCGGCUGAUUAGCUAGUUGGUGGGGUAAUGGCCCACCAAGGCCACGAUCAGUAUCCGGCCUGAGAGGGCGGACGGACACACUGGGACUGAGACACGGCCCAGACUCCUACGGGAGGCAGCAGUGGGGAAUUGUUCGCAAUGGGCGCAAGCCUGACGACGCAACGCCGCGUGGAGGACGAAGAUCUUCGGGUCGUAAACUCCUGUCGAGCGGAACGAAUACUCUCGGGGUCAAUACCCUCGAGGGUUGACGGUACCGCUAAAGGAAGCCCCGGCUAACUCCGUGCCAGCAGCCGCGGUAAUACGGGGGGGGCAAGCGUUGUUCGGAAUUACUGGGCGUAAAGGGCUCGUAGGCGGCCAACUAAGUCGGAUGUGAAAUCCCCAGGCUCAACCUGGGAACUGCAUCCGAUACUGGUUGGCUUGAAUCCGGGAGAGGGAUGCAGAAUUCCAGGUGUAGCGGUGAAAUGCGUAGAUAUCU
rnacentral:rRNA from 1 species